GCUAGUGAAGCCACUUUGCUCAGCAAUUCUUGAGCCCCAAAAGUGAGAAAUUCAGCCAUCGAUCUCUACUCAAGAGAGUCAAAAAGUUUAGACGAAUGCUAGUUGAUGAAACUAGGAGAGGGAUGAAUCAAAAGAGAGAUAUGAAUUUAUCAGGUCGUUGGACGAUCGUUUAUGAAAUAUAUAUUGCGAAUAGACCUCUCAACAACUAGUCAACUACUGCUCUCGACAGCAAUUCUAUUUUUCUAGCCAACUAGUCAACGAUCGUUGAUUACAAGAUGCUUUGAAUCAGAAGCAAUGGCAUCCCUCCCAGUGGAUGUGGAGGACGAUAGCGUUGGAGCGACAUCGACUUUGAAUUGAAGGACGAGAGACUCAUCUGGAGAUUCUGAUUCAAUUGGGACCCGAAGUCGUUGAAACAGAAUAGUAAACACUAGACAAUGAAAAACUGUUCCAUAAAAUCAAAUUCACAGCGAAAUUUUACAACAGCAAAACUGUAGUGCUGUUGUUUAACUCCACUCUAUAGAACUAGAGAUGAAGCUGAUAGACAACACACAAUUUAUGAGUUUUUGGGACUCUACCAGCUACUGAAGAGGCUAUGAGUAUAGUAGAACGCAAAUGUCAGCUUUCUGCAUAUUAACGGUUUCUGGGACUCCCCUUUGGGUGCCUUGCCUAUGCUACAGGUCUGUUUCGUAAAUUUUUAACCUAGUGCAAUUUUGAUGCUGUGAUAUUACGUACACCUUAUGAACUUUCCUAUCUAUUAUUUACUUGCCAUGUCUUUUAGGUAUUAAGAUAUACAUCAGAAAAUGUUUUUGUGCCAUUAACAGUUGCAGGUAGCAUUAGAGAUUUUACCGAUGCAACUAGCAGGCACUAUUCUAGCAAUAUUUCAGAUGUGGGGCUGAUAAGAUCUCCAUCUUAAGUGACGCAGUUUAUGCUGCAGAAGAAUAUUUAAGAACUGGAGCAUGCAAUAAUUUUCAUCAUGUUUUAUUCAGAUCUGCAUGUAUGCAAGAAUCUGUGGGAUGCCUCUCUGACAGUUCUCAAUUGGUUUUUCAGGUGAAAAGUGGAAAAAGUAGCUUCGAGCAGAUAUCUAGAGUUUAUGGAAAUCAGGCUGUGGUUGUAAGCAUUGAUCCUUGCAAAGUGUACGUUAAAAAUCAAAAUGAUGUUGAGUUCGAGACUAUAAGGGUAACAAACCCAGUUAGGGAGACACAAUUUCAAUUCUGUUCUCCUUUUUGUUGCUUGGAUUUGGCAUUUUUCUUUUCAAGGAUGUAAAAUCUUCUCUGAUUGGCAAUCUUUCGUGAAAGGUCUUGAAUUUUGUCCUUAAGGUUAGCGGUGGGUGGGAAAGCCAACGAAUCGGAGCUUAUAAGCUUACAAAAGCAGUUGAGGAGCUUGGUGCUGGAGAAAUUCUGCUAGACUGCAUUGAUUAUGAAAGUCAGGGAAAGGGGAUUUGAUAUAGAUUUAGUAAAGCUGAUCUCUGAUGUGGUGACCAUUCCCAUGCUUGCAAGUAGUGGUGCUGGUGUAGUUGAACACUUCUCAGAGGUUCUCACGAAAGCAAAUGCGUCUGCUGCCUUUGCUGCUGGCAUUUUUCAUUCCAAGGAGGGAUUCAUUCUGUAAAGGAGCACUUGCUAAAGGAAGGCUAGAAGUCAGAAUCUGAACACAUUCAUUGGACUAUCACAUUCCCAGCACACUUUUCCUGUCCAGAGUACUUCAUUGGACAAAUUUGCUCAUCAAAGUAACAAAUGUUACUUGGAGUGUUGAACCCAAGCUGGAUCUAUAAUAGUGGGAUUUUUAUUUUAUUUUAUUUCUGCAGAAGUAGUGGUCACAACAAUAAUUGUAAAAAGCUAGAGAAAGUUUUACUACCUUCAUCACGUAUCUAGAAUCCAGACCUUUAAAAUCAAACCAACUAGCACUACCAAGCUUGAUGGCUGAA